rnacentral:rRNA from 1 species
GCAAGUCCGAGCGGACAGAUGGGAGCUUGCUCCCUGAUGUUAGCGGCGGACGGGUGAGUAACACGUGGGUAACCUGCCUGUAAGACUGGGAUAACUCCGGGAAACCGGGGCUAAUACCGGAUGGUUGUUUGAACCGCAUGGUUCAAACAUAAAAGGUGGCUUCGGCUACCACUUACAGAUGGACCCGCGGCGCAUUAGCUAGUUGGUGAGGUAACGGCUCACCAAGGCAACGAUGCGUAGCCGACCUGAGAGGGUGAUCGGCCACACUGGGACUGAGACACGGCCCAGACUCCUACGGGAGGCAGCAGUAGGGAAUCUUCCGCAAUGGACGAAAGUCUGACGGAGCAACGCCGCGUGAGUGAUGAAGGUUUUCGGAUCGUAAAGCUCUGUUGUUAGGGAAGAACAAGUACCGUUCGAAUAGGGCGGUACCUUGACGGUACCUAACCAGAAAGCCACGGCUAACUACGUGCCAGCAGCCGCGGUAAUACGUAGGUGGCAAGCGUUGUCCGGAAUUAUUGGGCGUAAAGGGCUCGCAGGCGGUUUCUUAAGUCUGAUGUGAAAGCCCCCGGCUCAACCGGGGAGGGUCAUUGGAAACUGGGGAACUUGAGUGCAGAAGAGGAGAGUGGAAUUCCACGUGUAGCGGUGAAAUGCGUAGAGAUGUGGAGGAACACCAGUGGCGAAGGCGACUCUCUGGUCUGUAACUGACGCUGAGGAGCGAAAGCGUGGGGAGCGAACAGGAUUAGAUACCCUGGUAGUCCACGCCGUAAACGAUGAGUGCUAAGUGUUAAGGGGGUUUCCGCCCCUUAGUGCUGCAGCUAACGCAUUAAGCACUCCGCCUGGGGGAGUACGGUCGCAAGACUGAAACUCAAGGAAUUGACGGGGGCCCGCACAACGGUGGAGCAUGUGGUUUAAUUCGAAGCAACGCGAAGAACCAUACCAGUCUUGACAUCCUCUGACAUCCUAGAGAUAGGACGUCCCCUUCGGGGCAGAGUGACAGGUG